GGGUUAUUGAAAAUAACACAUGUCAUUUGGAUACUUCUCUUCAACUCCAAACUAUUUUUAUACAAUACAAAUAGUUGAAGUUAAUUUUACGAAAGAAAAAAAGGCGGAUUAUGGGAGUAACAAUGAAACCAGCAC